rnacentral:lncRNA from 1 species
AUAAAAGAAAAACUUACUUCAGAUUAGACUCUGGGAUGGGCCUGUCAGGUGCCCACUUGGGGAGGUCAGGUUGAGGGGUGCUCUGAAGCAGGAAUCUGGAGAGACAGGACCUGGUCAGGUUCAACCACAAGGAGGUGCUGGAGGUGAACCCCGACUGCCUCCCAGAUUGGCAAGGACCGUUCCCCAAAAGGAUCGUUCCAGUCACCAACGCCACACCCAGCCGGGGAAACGCUGGACCCCCUGCGGGCCCUCGGUGAUCUCCGCUGUGGGCAGCCCCGCCCGGCUGAAGGAGGGGAAACCCAGCCGCAGACAGAAUCCUGUGGGCUCGAGGGCUAGGCCCUCUUCUUCUAGACGCACUUGACCUUGACUGCACUUCAGAGGCUUCGUGGAUUCUCUAGGGAUGUGUCAUGAAUCCUGAUCUCACUAAUCGGAGGUUGAUUCAACAGCUAAAGUUCAGGCAGAUCUUCAAAAUUACACCUGGCCCACCUCAACCCCAGAACAAACUGGGAUUCCAUCUUUUUUUAAAAUGAAACCUUUUGGUGCCAACAACAACAAAAAACCAUCUAAGGAGUCAAUGACCCUUGCAAUUUCAGAACUAGGGUUUCAUCUUCUUGCUGGUGGGGACUUCCACAGAAGUCACAAUGUUAAUACUGGGAACAACAAUGAGAAAAGAAGGCAGAAUGACAGAGCUGUGGCCCAAGGUCUGCAUGUUGACACAGUUCCAAUAAAUCCCGUACUGGUGGUAUUUUGAAGCACAACCAUAAAUGGCAGGGACCACGUGUUUUUGCCUCUGCAUUUAGCAGCUGUGUGUCCUGAGGAAGUCCCUCAACUGUCUCUGAGCACCAGUUUCCCCACUUCUAAAAUGGAGGCAGUGACCGUAUCUGCCUGCCAGGGCUGUCUUGAGAAUUACAUAAGAG